AGUUCAUGAUGUGGACACUUACGCAAUAAAUCCUUGUAUCUCUCCCAUGCCUCAUAUAAUGAUUCACCCUCGGCUUGGGUGAAGAUAGUAAUAUCAUUCCCUAACUU